UACAGAGGUCUCAAGCGUUGUUCGGAUUCAUUGGGCGUAAAGGGUGCGUAGGCGGCGCGGUAAGUCGGGUGUGAAAUCUCGGAGCUUAACUCCGAAACUGCAUUCGAUACUGCCGUGCUUGAGGACUGGAGAGGAGACUGGAAUUUACGGUGUAGCGGUGAAAUGCGUAGAUAUCGUAAGGAAAGACCAGUGGCGAAGGCGGGUCGUCUGGACAGUUUCCUGACGCUGAGGCACGAAGGCCAGGGAGCAAACGGG
rnacentral:rRNA from 1 species